AUGCCUAAUGACUCCCUCAGGGUAGCCUUCACUCCUUAACUGGAUUUCAGACGCCCCCUUCAAACGACAAAAGCUAAAGCUAGAAUUGGCUUUUUUUUAAACGUGUGAAUCCAUAAGAAGCCGCCAAAGAAUUUUUAAUAUAAUCAUAGGAGAAAUGCUAGAGAGCUUCUCUUCUACGUCCUCCUUUCGCUUUGUGUUAGUAAUCCCCUAAUACAGCUCCCGGGGAAUUGCAUGACCAAGCUCUGCACCAGAUACUCCUCAUAAUGAAAUCGACCCGCGCCUCCCGGCACCGCGUUGGUGGUAUAGUGGUGAGCAUAGCUGCCUUCCAAGCAGUUGACCCGGGUUCGAUUCCCGGCCAACGCAUCUGCUGCCCUCCCUUUUACUCCCCCAUAUUCGAAGUCCAAUUCAGUAAAGCAGUGGGGAAAGGAAAGCCUUUUGAUCAUCCUUGCGUUCUAAGAUUACUGGUUUUGGGGGAGUCUCUCCUAAAAAAAAGCCUCCGGGAUGUUGGCGGCUGCAACCCUCGGCCAAGUUCGUGUGCUGGGUUCGGCCGCUGGGGUCGCACCACCGGUUUACGGUAACUAGCCUUUGGGGACCUUUAGGGAAGUGUCUGAAACAGAGACUGCUCGGAUUUGUUUUCCUAAGUCCUCAGAUGUGACUCGAGUUCACUGAGAAAUCAGAAUAAAGAAGUCAGCCCCAGGGGCCGCAGCUCCCGAGACAGCGCCACGUCGCUUGCAAAGGCGAGGGCAGCGAGAGGAACGAGAGGAGGGCCGCUUCCGGUCCCACCAUUCUGGGGACAGGAGCCUCUACUCCAGGCCACGAGCUGGAGGCUCCCUGAAGUGCAAUCCACGAACUGGGUGAAUUGCUUUUGUUCCGCUCCUUCCGAGGCUCGCCCACCCGAGGCAGACUCACCUACCCAGUUCUGGCAGCGACGCGCUUCAGGGCGGUGUAGGGGGCCUCGGGGUUGCCACCAAGCCUGCAGACGAGAGGAUCCUUCGCUUCUGACUCUGAAUUCAGCGCCUGUACCGGACGCGGGAAAAACGAAGAGUUGGGAGCGCAAAGUGAGAUCGCCUGGCGCUCUGUCUCCCCUCUGACUUGAAAUCUCGCUGGAACGUUCACACCUAAUAAAUACAGUCUUUUACUUAAGCCACGCAAGAUUUUAGUAUUUAAAAACAAAUUCGUGUCCUCAGUGAUGCGUCCCUCAGCCCCACUUGCACCCACCACCCUGGGUCUGCAGGGUUUAGGACGAGAAGCCAGGGGCUGGAUUCCCAAGGUCCGGGGAGAGCGAGCCCCCACGCCCCACCUCCCCGGCUGUCUGCGCCUCUCAUCCCCGGGCCCUCGCGCUCUUUCGCCUCCUCCUCAAGGGUCCGCACGCCUUAAGUCCGGCUGUCAAAGCAGCCCGGUCCACGCGGACUUUGCGGAAACACGGAGAUUUUAGGCCUCCUAAUUCCCCGUCUUCUGGCCCCGCGCAAUCCCCAUCACUCUCUCCAAGCCUCAGUCCUGGGACUGCAAAGCUACUAUUGUGUUCACAAAAUCUUAGAGCCAGAGGGCUUGAAAGAACGAGUAACUAGCGAGUAUAUGGACCUUGCGGCCUGUCUCUCCAAAGAAAUGAUAUUUCUAAAGAGAAGCCAACCGACCAGCGCCCGGCUAGCUCAGUCGGUAGAGCAUGAGACUCUUAAUCUCAGGGUCGUGGGUUCGAGCCCCACGUUGGGCGCGAGCACGUUUUUUUAACUAUUCAGUUCCUAUCAAAUCCUCUGUUGACAAUCAACAAUUAUGAACUUAUAAAAA